rnacentral:rRNA from 1 species
UGGGGAAUAUUGCGCAAUGGGCGAAAGCCUGACGCAGCGACGCCGCGUGAGGGAUGAAGGCCUUCGGGUUGUAAACCUCUUUCAGCAGGGACGAAGCGAAAGUGACGGUACCUGCAGAAGAAGCACCGGCCAACUACGUGCCAGCAGCCGCGGUAAUACGUAGGGUGCAAGCGUUGUCCGGAAUUAUUGGGCGUAAAGAGCUCGUAGGCGGCUUGUCGCGUCGGCUGUGAAAACCCGGGGCUCAACCCCGGGCCUGCAGUCGAUACGGGCAGGCUAGAGUCCGGCAGGGGAGACUGGAAUUCCUGGUGUAGCGGUGAAAUGCGCAGAUAUCAGGAGGAACACCGGUGGCGAAGGCGGGUCUCUGGGCCGGAACUGACGCUGAGGAGCGAAAGCGUGGGGAGCGAACA